rnacentral:rRNA from 1 species
GUGCCUAAUACAUGCAAGUCGAACGGUCUUUCUAUGGAAGCUUGCUUCCACUGAGAAGAUAGUGGCGAACGGGUGAGUAACACGUGGGUAACCUGCCCAUAAGAGGGGGAUAACAUCCGGAAACGGGUGCUAAUACCGCAUAGUUUUCUUGAUUGCAUGAUUGAGAAAGGAAAGACGGCCUUUGUGCUGUCGCUUAUGGAUGGACCCGCGGCGUAUUAGUUAGUUGGUGAGGUAACGGCUCACCAAGACGAUGAUACGUAGCCGACCUGAGAGGGUGAUCGGCCACAUUGGGACUGAGACACGGCCCAAACUCCUACGGGAGGCAGCAGUAGGGAAUCUUCCGCAAUGGACGAAAGUCUGACGGAGCAACGCCGCGUGAGUGAAGAAGGUUUUUUCGGAUCGUAAAACUCUGUUGUCAGAGAAGAACAAGUUGGAGAGUAACUGCUCCAGCCUUGACGGUAUCUGACCAGAAAGCCACGGCUAACUACGUGCCAGCCGCAGC